ACAGAAUGAACAAAAAUUAACUCAUCAGACAUAGUAAUGUAGCACACUUUAAAGGCUUACAUACAGUCAUCUAGUAAGCGAAAUAGAAUAACCUUAUUCAUGGAGACUGCCAAGUACCAAGAAUAUACCUAUCUCUUCCAUCAUGAUUAGAUUCUUACUAUGUCAAGGCGAAGUCUGAAGAACAAUCCUUCUGCUGUGUGUGUAUAGAUGUAUUUUGGGUUAUCCAAAGUGAAGUAGAGAACGCGAGGAUGAUAUGUUAACUUUCUUAAAGAAGAGAAUGAAAAAGGAUGUACUUUGUAGCUUUUCUUAUGUAUUACUGGUUAGGAAUGAAAGGAGUAGUAAAUUAAGAUCUUAAAAAGGAACAAUGGAAGAGCUAUUUUUCGAAAAAUAUGUUAUGAACAUCACUAAGGACUUCAAAAAUUUCUAGGAACACAAACUAUAACCUUUUCCCCCAGAAAACUGUAAUAGCUGCUAUAAGGAGUCAGGAUGAUAUUUAUAUUGAAGUUUGCAGUGUUAAUAUCCUCCUGGAUAGAUUCCAAAAUACCAACUUUAAAUCCUAAAGUCUUAAUAGAUAACCAUUAAGUUAAAUCCCAAAAACUAAAUAGAUAACCAUAAAAAGAAUUAAUAUCCUCCAGGAUCAUAUACGAAGAACUUGAAGGGCCCAUGGAGUAUUCCUUCCUGUUCCCUAUCAUCAUCUAGUUCAACAAUAUUCUACAGAUUGAAAGAUGCCUAACUGGAGGAAAAGCAUGUUGAUGCCUAGACACAGCACUGCACUAAAGGUGAUAUUGAUAAUACAUACUACAAUAAAGAGGAUAUUUCAUAUGCUCAUAUCGAUACUUAAGAGUGUUCUAGUAGCGUGUCAAUGACUAUAACCAUAAACGGAGAGCUAGGAUCUCCUAAAGUAACUCUGCCUUGAACAAGAAACAAAUUUUGACCGACCUUCCCGCCAUCCUUGAGUGUGGGCCUAGCUAUGGAACCCCAAACACGUCUCACUGGGUAGCACAAAGUAGGAUAAGGCUUUUAGAGAAGGUGCAUCUUAAUAUACUGUUGAGUUGACCGCGGAUUGGGCACUUGAUGUGUUCAACUAUCACCAGGGCAAAAUAGAAAGAGCAUCCUAGGUCAUAGGAUGCUUAAUAUUCAUUGAAAGCAAGGAUGUACAGCAGCAGAAUGCCAAAGGACAGCAUGCACCCCAAGAUCUUAUUGGGAGUUUUGCCUUUUGGUUUAUUCCCCAUUAAACUCUAACAAACCGAAGGCUUCCUCAUCCACAAUAGAAAAUAAGAAAUGUAUAUACAGAUCCAUAUAUUCACUGGUUCAAGAAAGAACAGUUAUACAUCUGUUAUGAAGCCCUAACAUUUUUGAUGCAAUUCAGUCUCCUCUUCUUUGAUGGAAACCUUUUAACAAUCAAAUCCACUCAAUAAAAUGAUUACUAAAGAACAACUACAUGCCAAUUAAGGGCUAAGGAAAAGAAACAAAUGACAUGAAUUAACGAGAAGCGCCAUUGCAUAAACAAUAAACAACCAUACCCGAGCGAAUAGGUCCUCUCUCAUCCAGGGAACCAAAUACUUCCACGGC